GAUGAACGCUGGCGGCGUGCCUAAUACAUGCAAGUAGAACGCUGAAGGAAGGAGCUUGCUCUUUCCGGAUGAGUUGCGAACGGGUGAGUAACGCGUAGGUAACCUGCCUGGUAGCGGGGGAUAACUAUUGGAAACGAUAGCUAAUACCGCAUAACAGUAGAUGUUGCAUGAUAUCUACUUAAAAGGUGCAAUUGCACCACUGCCAGAUGGACCUGCGUUGUAUUAGCUAGUUGGUGAGGUAACGGCUCACCAAGGCGACGAUACAUAGCCGACCUGAGAGGGUGAUCGGCCACACUGGGACUGAGACACGGCCCAGACUCCUACGGGAGGCAGCAGUAGGGAAUCUUCGGCAAUGGACGGAAGUCUGACCGAGCAACGCCGCGUGAGUGAAGAAGGUUUUCGGAUCGUAAAGCUCUGUUGUAAGUGAAGAACGAGUGUGAGAGUGGAAAGUUCACACUGUGACGGUAUCGUACCAGAAAGGGACGGCUAACUACGU
rnacentral:rRNA from 1 species